GAUGAACGCUGGCGGCGUGCCUAAUACAUGCAAGUCGAGCGAACGGACGAGAAGCUUGCUUCUCUGAUGUUAGCGGCGGACGGGUGAGUAACACGUGGAUAACCUACCUAUAAGACUGGGAUAACUUCGGGAAACCGGAGCUAAUACCGGAUAAUAUUAUGAACCGCAUGGUUCAAAAGUGAAAGAAGGUCUUGCUGUCACUUAUAGAUGGAUCCGCGCUGCAUUAGCUAGUUGGUAAGGUAACGGCUUACCAAGGCAACGAUGCAUAGCCGACCUGAGAGGGUGAUCGGCCACACUGGAACUGAGACACGGUCCAGACUCCUACGGGAGGCAGCAGUAGGGAAUCUUCCGCGAUGGGCGAAAGCCUGACGGAGCAACGCCGCGUGAGUGAUGAAGGUCUUCGGAUCGUAAAGCUCUGUUAUUAGGGAAGAACAUAUGUGUAAGUAACUGUGCACAUCUUGACGGUACCUAAUCAGAAAGCCACGGCUAACUACGUG
rnacentral:rRNA from 1 species